CGCUUAACACAUGCAAGUCGUGCGAGAAAGGGCUUCGGCCCCGGUAAAGCGGCGCACGGGUGAGUAACACGUAGGUAAUCUUCCCCCAGGUGGUGGAUAACCUUCCGAAAGGAGAGCUAAUACAGCAUGAGACCACGACUCCGAAAGGAGAUGAGGUCAAAGUCGGCCUCUUCACGAAAGCUGACGCCAGGGGAUGAGCCUGCGGCCCAUCAGCUAGUUGGUAGGGUAAUGGCCUACCAAGGCGAAGACGGGUAGCUGGUCUGAGAGGAUGAUCACCCACUCGGGAACUGAGACCCGGUCCAGACUCCUACGGGAGGCAGCAGUGGGGAAUCUUGCGCAUUGGGCGAAAGCCUGUCUCUGCGACGCCGCGUGAGCGAUGAAGGCCCUCGGGUUGUAACGCUC
rnacentral:rRNA from 1 species